rnacentral:rRNA from 1 species
GACGAACGCUGGCGGCGUGCUUAACACAUGCAAGUCGAGCGGUAAGGCCCUUUCGGGGGUACACGAGCGGCGAACGGGUGAGUAACACGUGGGUGACCUGCCCUCAGCUCUGGGAUAAGCCUGGGAAACCGGGUCUAAUACUGGAUAUGACCCCAUGACGCAUGUUGUGGGGUGGAAAGCCUUGUGCGGCUGAGGAUGGGCCCGCGGCCUAUCAGCUUGUUGGUGGGGUGAUGGCCUACCAAGGCGACGACGGGUAGCCGGCCUGAGAGGGCGACCGGCCACACUGGGACUGAGACACGGCCCAGACUCCUACGGGAGGCAGCAGUGGGGAAUCUUGCGCAAUGGGCGAAAGCCUGACGCAGCGACGCCGCGUGAGGGAUGACGGCCUCGGUUGUAA